UCCCCGAUAGCUCAAUUGGUAGAGCGAGCGGCUGUUAACCGCUAGGUCGUAGGUUCGAGUCCUACUCGGGGAG
rnacentral:tRNA from 8 species